ACUUAAGUAAUUGAUUUUAUUGUAUAAAAACUCGGACUUAAAAUCCCCCGCUCGUAAGGGCGUGCCGGUUCGAUUCCGGCUUCGGGCACCA
rnacentral:tRNA from 2 species